rnacentral:lncRNA from 1 species
CUCACUGCCCCUGUCUUUCACAUGGGCUGUAAUUUAGUUCAAUUCAGAACUGCAGAUAGUACGGCUUCCACAGGAGCAAGGGAUGCCUGAGCACAAGUGGCUGAGUUCCUAGUGACUUUACGAAGGACUUCUCCACCUUUCUGCGGCGUGAAAACAGGGCUUCUGCACCUGCACCAGGAACAGGCUGGGGAAAGCCUCUGCUCUGCCUCCGGGGACAAGGAACUGGAGCAAAUAACCAUGUGGAAAUUGGAUCUUGGCAAAGUGACCAACAAAUUCAUGAAGGAAACUGAAGGCAAUUUGAAUAAUGUUCCACAGAAAUUGAAGAAACAUGGAUGUCUCCGAAGAAAAGCAGAGAGUUUGGUUAGUUGUACCCUAGAAUUAGGAUGUGAUUAAGGUACGUCAUUUCUCUGAGCUCAGUUGAAACGCUUUGUUCUUUCUUUGUCAGAGAAUUUCUUCUCUUUUUUUCCCCUUAACCUCUCUCUUUCUCUCCUCUCUUCUUUUCCUUCCUUUCAUUAGCAGAUGUCUUUUAUAAUUGAUGUUGUUCACUAUCCUUUCAUCAAAUGUAUGCCACAUCGCUUAGGCAAACCACCAGACAGCACCUAAAUACACAUUAGAGGAAAAUGGCAACCAGGAGACACGUCGACUGUCUCAUCAGGGCAGUUAUAAUAAGCAUCUUGGUGCCACUGAAUGCAGUGCUGUAUUCAAAUAAUACCUUUCAUCUUCACUCUUUUUAAAUAUAAAAGUAAAUCUUGAAGCCCUUUGAAGGACCUAACCAAACAGCAUACAUAUGAAAAUAGAUCAGUGAGGCUUUGAGAAACAUCCUUAUGUAACAUCUGUAAAGCAUCUUAGCAUUUUUUUUCAAGAAAGACCUCCAGGUAAAUGAUGGCUUUUAAUAAGACACAUGACAAUCGCAAUUAUGAGAAUCAUUAUUGUGUGCCCUGUGCUCCAUUUUAUGUUCCCAGUGUUCCCAACAGGAUACCUUUUUUUUUUCCUCAUGAAGAAUUUCCAGGGCUGUCUACUGUUCUCUG